AUUGAACGCUAGCGGGAUGCCUUACACAUGCAAGUCGAACGGAGUGGCGAACGGGUGAGUAAUGUAUCGGAACGUGCCCAGUAGCGGGGGAUACCUACGCGAAAGCGUAGCUAAUACCGCAUACUCUUGGAGCGGCCGAUCUUGGAUUAGCUAGUGGGUGGGGUAACGGCUCACCAAGGCGACGAUCCGUAGCCGUUUUGAGAGGACGACCGGCCACACUGGGACUGAGACACGGCCCAGACUCCUACGGGAGGCAGCAGUGGGGAAUUUUGGACAAUGGGGGAAACCCUGAUCCAGCCAUCCCGCGUGUGCGAUGAAGGCCUUCGGGUGGUAAAGCACUUUUGGCAGGAAAGCGGUACCUGGAGAGUAAGCACCGGCUAACUACGUGCCAGCAGCCGCGGUAAUAC
rnacentral:rRNA from 1 species